rnacentral:lncRNA from 1 species
AAGCACCAACCAAAAAGUGAAAGUUCUACAACUAUCAUCACAUUCAUACAUGUAUCUUGAUUACACGAAAUCAAAUACAAGCAUACAUUAAUUUACAUUCACUUUUACAAAAUACAUUUCAUAUCCUCUAAGCAUAUGCCGUUUGUACUGUUAAGUCUUGUGUGUUGGCAAGUUUCGUGAAGUGAGUCGGAGUCUUGAAGAAUCGGUGCGUAGCGUCGAAGAUUGAAGAAUUCAAGAUUUCGAAGAAAUUGAAAAAUAACUCACGAUGUGAAUCACGAUGCCCAGGUAAAGUGUUAAUUCAUGUUAUGGUGAUUCAUACUUAGUUGUAGGCAUUAGAAUCAUAAUAUCAAUAUUUACUGGAUUAGAAAGUGCAUCGAAACUUU